UACGUAGGGGCUAGCGUUAUCCGGAAUUACUGGGCGUAAAGGGUGCGUAGGCGGUCUUUCAAGCCAGAAGUGAAAGGCUACGGCUCAACCGUAGUAAGCUUUUGGAACUGUAAGACUUGAGUGCAGGAGAGGAGAGUGGAAUUCCUAGUGUAGCGGUGAAAUGCGUAGAUAUUAGGAGGAACACCGGUGGCGAAGGCGGCUUACUGGACUGUAACUGACACUGAGUCACGAAAGCGUGGGUAGCAAACAGGAUUAGAUACCCUGGUAGUCCCUGAG
rnacentral:rRNA from 1 species